rnacentral:rRNA from 1 species
CCUACGGGUGGCAGCAGUGAAGAAUAUUGGUCAAUGGCCGGAAGGCUGAACCAGCCAUGCCGCGUGAAGGUCAGUGCCCUAUGGGCGUUACACUUCUUUUGUGCGGGAGCAAUAAUGGUCACGUGUGGCCAGACGAGAGUACCGUACGAAUAAGCAUCGGCUAACUCCGUGCCAGCAGCCGCGGUAAUACGGGGGAUGUAAGCGUUAUCCGGAUUUAUGGGGUUUAAAGGGUGCGUAGGCUGUGAGGUAAGUCAGCGGUGAAAUGCCCCGGCUCAACGGGGUGAAGUGCCAUUGAUACUGCCUUGCUGGAAUGCGGAUGCCGUGGGAGGAAUGUGUGGUGUAGCGGUGAAAUGCAUACAUAUCACACAGAACACCGAGUGCGAAGGCAUCUCACGAAUCCGCGAUUGACGCUGAUGCACGAAAGCGUGGGUAUCAAACAGGAUUAGAUACCCGUGUAGUC